GACGUAGGGCGCGAGCGUUGUCCGGAUUUAUUGGGCGUAAAGAGCUCGUAGGCGGCUUGUCGCGUCGAAUGUGAAAUCUCGGGGCUCAACUCCGAGCUUGCAUUCGAUACGGGCAGGCUAGAGUUCGGUAGGGGAGACUGGAAUUCCUGGUGUAGCGGUGAAAUGCGCAGAUAUCAGGAGGAACACCGAUGGCGAAGGCAGAUCUCUGGGCCGUAACUGACGCUGAGGAGCGAAAGCAUGGGGAGCGAACAGG
rnacentral:rRNA from 1 species